AACAAAGUGGGCUAUCCAAUGAGAGGAUGGAGAGUGUCGGCAUAUCUGAAGAGAAUACUGAUCUGGACUCCAUCUCAAGAGGGAAAUGAGUCAGCGACAUGGUGCUGAGGAACCCUUGAGCCUAGCCUUUGGCGGCCAAGAGAAGAAGGUGCCUUCUCUUCCCUUCAUCUCCACGGUGUGUAGACUUCAGAUCCCACCAGCUCCUCUCGGUCCUUUUCAAGCUGGAAGCCCACUUGCUGCCAGCUCGCUAAGGAGAAGCAUCCGGCAUCACAUCAAUAGGCAGUUCAUCUGUUCAAUGGGAUGCUGACAUGUCAUGCAGCACUGGAUCCUCAGACCCUCUCUCCUGCCUCUGCAUUCUUCCUGGUCAAGAGAACUGAGAGCCAUAGACCAUUAGGGCUGGUGACUCCGAGAAUCCAGUGCGUAUCUUGCUGGUUGUGAGAAGGGACACCGGACAUCUUAUCACCGAUUGCAGAGCUUGGAUCCUCAGGUCCAAGCUGAGAGAAGUGAUCAAUGAAUUCAGAAGGGCAACAGCGGCCAAUCGCGGUGUCUUCCCAAGCCCUUCCUAUCAGACUCCAGCUCUCCCCGCUGACAGAAGCCAUAUCAGUUCCUACCCAGGGAUCAGGAUGACACCUCGACACAGCAAGUCUCCCCUGAGACAGACGACAGGAGUGAAAGUGAAGCUGUCAGUGUUUGCUGCAUCCUGACUCCACACAAAGAAGGUUUGAGCAAGCACCACCUUCCCAAAGGCUUACGAGAAUGCCUACUAGCCAGAGCUUCCAGAGAGUGACAGUCCAGUCUCCACGGUAGGUACUGUCACAUCGUCAUUUGCAGAGGAAGACAGUGAGGCAUGAGAGGUUGGGUAACUUGCCCCUGAUCACACAGUGCAGCAGGUGCAGGCAAGGCUGGGCGAUGACUGAGCGUCCCUACCACGGCACAUUUAUGCCUGAGGGGUGUGCUACACUCCUGCCUGCCAUCCGUGUACUUAUGCCACAUGUCGUGUUCAUCAACCCCCUCCCCCCGAUCAUUAGAACAGCUCCAUGGGGCAGGAAAAGGGAUCCAGGCACCAGAGUAUGGGAGAGAGCAACAUUAAACCCAAAUGAACAGGAACCGGUAAAAGGAAAAACACGGCCUGUGAGUGAUAGGGAAUGGCACCCAGUGCCUGGAGGAGCAGCCCUCUGAUACACAAGGUGACCUCAUACAUACAUACACACACACUUAGGAAAUACGUGCUGCAGGAUCCACACAGUAUUCUGGAAGACCCACACUGCAGGGCUGUUGCUCAAGUUCCUUCCCCCAGGGGAGACAUAAACAAUGUCUACCCCUCUUUCUACGGUCUCAAUGACAAAUAGAGGUAUGAUUCCAUCAAAAUGCACUCUGAGGGACAAAUGAGUUUAUUGGGCUUCCUUACAGAGUAGUGGGUGAGGGGCCCACAGAAACAGUCACACUGAAAGAUCUGCACCCAGUGAAGAUGAUAGCUCCCCCAUGGCCGCAGAGAUGGAGGCCUCCUCCCUAGUCCUUCCAAACUAUAUAUUUCUAGCCCCUCCCUGAGGCCACCUGCAAUUGGAAUACAAAUGCAUAGAUCUGUUUAGGGGAAUUUCUGGAUGCUGGGUAAGGGUUCUAUAACCUCUUCUGGCUAUCUUUUGGUGAGCAAUGAGGAAACAUGAUUAGUCAACGA